GACAACACAGGUUUGAACCAUUCGGGUCCAGUAAUAAGCAUAGUUUUUUCAACCAGAUGCAGGUGGAAAAUAGAGUCUUGGUGGUAUUUGAAACCUGUGUAUAUGAAAGGCCAACUUUUUGUAAAUUUGGGUUCCAAGGGCUGACUGCAGGACUGAGUAUGAGCGGAUUAGGGUACAUGGAGGGGGUCCUGGAACCAAUCCCCCAUGUACACUGGGGAAAGACUUAAUGAGAAACGUAACAGACAACACCCUAAUCAAGUCAUAAAUAUCAACAUCAGCAUAAACUGGACCAGCCAACAUCAUCAUGCCUGUGGGCCACAGCCUCCUGUCUGUGGACCAGAUGGGACUCCAAGGAAACACCACACAAACCAAAAUGGCCCUUCAAGAAAUCCCAUCCGUCACGACAGGUGUGAAAAGGCUGAGGAACACUCUGUAUUAAAGGAAACUAGAGAUCUUAAAGUGAAUGCAAAUGGUUCCUGAACAGGAAUAAAAGAAUAACAUAAAGGAUGUUUAUAUGAACAAUCGGGGAAACCUGAACGAGGUCUGUAGAUUUCAACCCUGCAUCUUAUUAAGGGUAAAUAUCCUGACUUUGGUAACUUUAUUAUGAUAUGUAAGUGAGUAACCCUGUUUUUAGUCAAUAGACUCUGAGGUAUUUAGGAGUAAAGGGACUUGAUAUCUACAAAUGAGUCUCAAAUGG
rnacentral:lncRNA from 10 species